UGCGGUGUGUUUGGCUAGGGUUCUUAGGAAGAAGUUUAAAUGUGUAAACCUUGUGAGUGCCAAAGAAUUGAAGGAGAAAGAUGAUAUUUACUAGGUGUUCUCAGCUUGUUAUAUGUUAGUAGUUGCAAGAAAUAAAGGUACGAUUUAAUUUAUCAUGUCCUAUUUCUAAGACUUGGGUGGGUACUAGUUUAUGGAUUUUCUAAGAACUGUACUAUCUUCAAAGUCGAGUUGCUUGGGUAUGUUA
rnacentral:lncRNA from 1 species